rnacentral:rRNA from 1 species
UACGAAGGGGGCUAGCGUUGCUCGGAAUCACUGGGCGUAAAGGGUGCGUAGGCGGGUCUUUAAGUCAGGGGUGAAAUCCUGGAGCUCAACUCCAGAACUGCCUUUGAUACUGAAGAUCUUGAGUUCGGGAGAGGUGAGUGGAACUGCGAGUGUAGAGGUGAAAUUCGUAGAUAUUCGCAAGAACACCAGUGGCGAAGGCGGCUUUCUGGCCUGCUCUUGACGCUGAGGCGCGAAAGCUAGGGUAGCAAACGGG